rnacentral:rRNA from 1 species
AUUGAACGCUGGCGGCAGGCCUAACACAUGCAAGUCGAACGGUAACAGGAAGCAGCUUGCUGCUUUGCUGACGAGUGGCGGACGGGUGAGUAAUGUCUGGGAAACUGCCCGAUGGAGGGGGAUAACUACUGGAAACGGUAGCUAAUACCGCAUAACGUCGCAAGACCAAAGAGGGGGACCUUAGGGCCUCUUGCCAUCGGAUGUGCCCAGAUGGGAUUAGCUAGUAGGUGGGGUAACGGCUCACCUAGGCGACGAUCCCUAGCUGGUCUGAGAGGAUGACCAGCCACACUGGAACUGAGACACGGUCCAGACUCCUACGGGAGGCAGCAGUGGGGAAUAUUGCACAAUGGGCGCAAGCCUGAUGCAGCCAUGCCGCGUGUAUGAAGAAGGCCUUCGGGUUGUAAAGUACUUUCAGCGGGGAGGAAGGGGGUAAAGUUAAUACCUUUGCUCAUUGACGUUACCCGCAGAAGAAGCACCGGCUAACUCCGUG